UACGUAGGGUGCGAGCGUUGUCCGGAAUUAUUGGGCGUAAAGAGCUUGUAGGCGGUCUGUCGCGUCUGCUGUGAAAAUCCGGGGCUCAACCCCGGACUUGCAGUGGGUACGGGCAGACUAGAGUGUGGUAGGGGAGACUGGAAUUCCUGGUGUAGCGGUGAAAUGCGCAGAUAUCAGGAGGAACACCGGUGGCGAAGGCGGGUCUCUGGGCCGAUACUGACGCUGAGGAGCGAAAGCGUGGGGAGCGAACCGG
rnacentral:rRNA from 1 species